GCACUGCUGAGGAGUCCCAUAAUAGGACGAAACGGUCGUUCAGUGC
rnacentral:hammerhead_ribozyme from 1 species